AAAUUGAAGAGUUUGAUCAUGGCUCAGAUUGAACGCUGGCGGCAGGCCUAACACAUGCAAGUCGAGCGGCAGCGGAAAGUAGCUUGCUACUUUGCCGGCGAGCGGCGGACGGGUGAGUAAUGUCUGGGAAACUGCCUGAUGGAGGGGGAUAACUACUGGAAACGGUAGCUAAUACCGCAUAACGUCGCAAGACCAAAGAGGGGGACCUUCGGGCCUCUUGCCAUCAG
rnacentral:rRNA from 1 species